ACUUUGAUCUUGGCUCAGGAUGAACGCUGGCGGCGUGCUUAACACAUGCAAGUCGAACGAAGCACCUUGAUUUGAUUCUUCGGAUGAAGAUCUUGGUGACUGAGUGGCGGACGGGUGAGUAACGCGUGGGUAACCUGCCUUAUACAGGGGGAUAACAGUUAGAAAUGACUGCUAAUACCGCAUAAGACCACAGCACCGCAUGGUGCAGGGGUAAAAACUCCGGUGGUAUGAGAUGGACCCGCGUCUGAUUGGGUAGUUGGUGGGGUAACGGCCUACCAAGCCGACGAUCAGUAGCCGACCUGAGAGGGUGACCGGCCACAUUGGGACUGAGACACGGCCCAAACUCCUACGGGAGGCAGCAGUGGGGAAUAUUGCACAAUGGGGGAAACCCUGAUGCAGCGACGCCGCGUGAGCGAUGAAGUAUUUCGGUAUGUAAAGCUCUAUCAGCAGGGAAGAAAAUGACGGUACCUGACUAAGAAGCACCGGCUAAAUACGUGCCAGCAGCCGCGGUAAUACGUAUGGUGCAAGCGUUAUCCGGAUUUACUGGGUGUAAAGGGAGCGUAGACGGAGUGGCAAGUCUGAUGUGAAAACCCGGGGCUCAACCCCGGGACUGCAUUGGAAACUGUCAAUCUAGAGUACCGGAGAGGUAAGCGGAAUUCCUAGUGUAGCGGUGAAAUGCGUAGAUAUUAGGAGGAACACCAGUGGCGAAGGCGGCUUACUGGACGGUAACUGACGUUGAGGCUCGAAAGCGUGGGGAGCAAACAGGAUUAGAUACCCUGGUAGUCCACGCCGUAAACGAUG
rnacentral:rRNA from 1 species